GGCAGUGUAGCAUAGUGGUAAGGAGCAGGGCUCAUAACCAAUAGGGUUGCUGGUUCGAAUCCCCCGGGCACUGCUG